rnacentral:lncRNA from 1 species
CUGCUUUCUCUCUCUCUCUCUCUCUCUCUCUCUCAGUUCGAAACUUUUCGAAUUUUUAGUUGAAAUUAUAACUGAUACUGCUGCGAUUUAUGAAUGAAGAUUGAACUAGUUCUAAGCAAGAAUUCAGGGGAAAUAUGUUAGAUUUACAGUUUCAAGACUUGAGAGUAAUCAUGUUUUUAAGUGGAUUUAUUUGCUAUGAUGCGAGCUGGAAAUAAAGUAGAGGGCCUUUUAACAAUAUCAUUCAAGUUUUGUAACCCUAAUUUUCUGAUAAGGAAAUUGAUUUAACAAAUAUGCUUACCAGUUAGAAGUUGGAACUGUUCAUAUAGCGGCCUAAUUCAUGUCGAUGGAAGAUAGUAGCAUUAACCAAUUUUGAUUGCUUCGACUGUCCCCCGGUUCUUAUAUAGCCGCCAGGUUCGUCCAGUUUUUAUUCCACUUAUCUUGAAAUUGGAAGCUGAAAACGAUGUUUUCAUGACUUGAAAUCACAAGAUUCGUUGGUCAGGUCUUAUCAACUUUGCUGAAAAUGAUGUGUUGAUU